GACGAACGCUGGCGGCGCGCUUAACACAUGCAAGUCGAACGGAAAGGCCUGCUUUCCCUUGUGGAUUGCGGGUACUCGAGUGGCGAACGGGUGAGUAACACGUGAGUGAUCUGCCCCCAACUUGGGUAUAAGCCUGGGAAACUGGGUCUAAUUCCCGAUAGGACUGCAGGGUGGUGCCUGUGGUGGAAAACGAUUUUCUAGUGGUUGGGGAUGAGCUCGCGGCCUAUCAGCUUGUUGGUGGGGUAAUGGCCUACCAAGGCGGCGACGGGUAGCCGGCCUGGGAGGGUGGACGGUGCCAUUGUGACUGAGAUACGGCCCAGACUCCUACGGGAGGCAGCAGUGGGGAAUAUUGCACAGUGGGCGGAAGCCUGAUGCAGCGACGCCGCGUGGGGGAUGACGGCCUUCGGGUUGUAAACUCCUUUCGACCGCGAGGAAGCCACCUGGUUGGAAGGGUGGUGACGGUAGUGGUAGAAGAAGCACCGGCUAACUACGUG
rnacentral:rRNA from 1 species